AGGUGUACAACAUAUCAUGUACA
rnacentral:siRNA from 1 species